rnacentral:lncRNA from 1 species
UCCCCUAUUUCCAACAGUUGAGCAAACACAUUAAUGCCUUUCUGAUACCAUAGAGUUACACGCAUGGAAAUUGUCGUCAUUGCAUAUACUCCCACCAUUCCAAAUUAUAUGAAGUUCUAGCUUUGUCCUAAGUCAAAUUUUAAUAAAGUUUACCAUGUCUAAAGCAAAAUGUGCUAAUAUUUACAACAUCAAAUAUACAUAUAGUAUGGAAACGUAUUUUAUGAGGAAACUACUGAAAUUAAUCGGUCAAACUUAAAGAAGUUCAACUUAGGACAAAGCUAGAACUUCAAAUAAUUUGGAACGGUGAACUGCAAUAUGACAAAUGGUUCUUCAUGCCUGCACCUUGUGUUUUUACUUGUAAUGUAUAAUUCCAUUUGUACUAGUUACAGAAAGUGCUACUGAAAGAGCUAGUACAAAUCUGAUGGAUAGAGAAUAAUAUUAUGUGCUGCCACAUUGACUACGUAAGGUCAACUUCAAUGACGUUGAAAGGCGAGUCCAAGUAGAUCUUCUGUCACACAGGUGUCAUUUUAUCGCUGCUUGCCGGUGAUGACAUUUCACAUAUCCAGAAGGAAUAGUCAGAUGCAUGCCCUGGACAUUUCCUCAAAUAUUGAGCAAAUACGGCGAGGUACUGUUUCUUGAAUCAGCCUCUAUUUUGAUCUUUCGUCAAUUUCUCGAAAAUACCCACGCCUGUUCAUUAACCAGAAGAUGGUUACAUCAAGAAACAAAUGUUCUAAAAAGAAGGGAAAACAAUGAUAUUAAAAUUAAUCAUCUAAUGUAACAGCACUUUCUUGCGGAGGUAAAAGGAUUUUUUUAGCAAUAGUGCCUUUUUUAAGUUUUAACAAACAAUAUUAUGUGGUCAAGUGCAUUAGAGGCACACAUCAAGAGAAAGGCAUGAAAAUAUACUGUAAUGGCAGCACAUAGUGAUAGAACAACAAUUCUAUACACAUGAUGCAGUAUAUCACUACCCCAAAACUUUUAAUAACCUCUAGGAAUUUAGUAUAGUUAUGUUUAUGUCAAGACAGUGAAUGCUUCCUCACACAAAACAUAAAGGGGAAAGAAGGAAAGAAUAUGAGCCCAUAAACAAGUACACACAACGCAAGUCGUAGCCACUCGAGAAAAUCAACUGCGUUGGCCUAGAAAAAAAAAAGUUAAAGGUAAAAUGCAAAAAAAGAUGAAAUACCAACAAUGACUAAGUACAUGUGGUUGUAGUAGAUGCAUGAUAGAUUAUUCUAUUUGUCACCAUCCCUACUUAGUUGAAAGGGGGGUAAUUGAGGCGCAGAAUUAUGGAAGUUACAGAAGGUUGAGAAAUCUGUUUUUUAGCUAAACAAAUUAUAGCAUAUUGAUUCAUCUUUUAGAAUGCAAAUAAUAUAUGGCAUCUGAAGAGAUAUAUCAUACAAUUGUGACGCAUCAUAUUCUUGGCGCAAUUUCCGUGGAGUAUGCAAAAACCUUCUUUGUCCUUGUGGCUGCCAUCCUGACCUCUCAAGGUAUUCUUCAAUCAACCUAACAUUGCCAAUUAGACCUUCAGAUUAUUUGUGAAAAAUGAACUCUUUUUGUUUCUAACUCGAAAAAGAAGAACAAAGAGCUCACAUGCUGCAUAUUGACUUUUGGGAAGCCGCCAAUUCACGAUCUGGGAAAGAGUCGUCAAAUCUGUAGCUUAACCACACAUACAACUCUAGGACCUGCAACGAUCACAAAUGCGAUGCUGAUUAAUCUCAUUUUAGAAACAGUUUAGAGACAGUGGCGUGCCAAAAUGGAAUCCAAAUAAUCACUGCAGAAACUAGGAACUCUCCAGAAGUAAUGGUUGCCUGAAACGGCAAGUGUCUAGUCCAAUAUUUUUCCAAAAAAGCUCAUCUUAUAUGCACAUAGACCCAAUGCAACAGAGUACUUGAUAAAGCCCGCUGAAUUAUGUAAUGAUAUGUUAGGCCCUAUACAAAAGUAUAAAAUUAUGGAUCAAUGAGAAAUGAGUGCUAGCCCAGCAUAGUAUAGUCUCUAAGAAACUCUAGGCUCAGCACUUCAACCAAUUAUUAAGUGGUUUGCUUUAAGAUAGUUUCUGUACCAACUGAUACGUAAUUUUAGUGUCAGGCCUCCAAAAUCCCUACAUGGGAAGUAGUUAAAUCGACAGCAUUUACUGAUGACCUUUACAUACCUUAAUUUGAAUGUCUCUAGCUUAGGACCGUAUGGGAUAAUCCAGUUAAUUAAUAUGACUAUUUGAGGUGGUAGUCUACGCUAUGGUAUGUUGUACCAUCCUUCGAACUCCCAAGUUUGAUUUUUAACUUGGAAGUUUAUAUAAUGCUGAUGAACAGAAACUGCCUUCACAACAGAAUAGACAAUGCACAUGUUUAAGAGCAAAAUAAUUUGUGAUUAGAAUAACAUUGACAAGAUAUAUAGUAGUACUGAUAUUGACUGGCAAAUUACAGGUAUUAUCUGUUAAGCUUCAUGCACUAGCCAACGCAACCAAAAGUCUGAACUGAUGGAAAGGGCUAGUGCAAUCCGCAUAUACUAUAACACCCCCUCUCACGUGUGACGGGGAAGUCAACACGUGCAACCGGAAGAGAGUGACGGCGCGCGAAACUCACGUAUGACUAGGAGGCCUAUACGUGGACACAAAGGGGAGCUACCAGCAGUUUUUGGAUAAAUCGCGAAAGCCAGGACUUGAACUCAAGACCUUGGGCUCUGAUACCAUGUUAAGCUUCAUGCACUAGCCAACGCAACCAAAAGUCCAAACUGAUGGAAAGGGCUAGUGCAAUCCACAUAUACUGUAACAUUAUCUUCUGAUAUACUACCUCUUUAGUGACCUAAAAGGUCUUAUAUUUCUUUACAGAGGGAGUAAUUUGCUAGAGAAAUAGAAUAUGGAACAACCUUGUGAACAGAUUCAAGCUCCUGGAGUUGAUUGUGUGUUGUAGGCACCCGCAGUGUUCCAGGUGUAAAUAUUUCUUUAAGCCGAACUGUGCCUUUCUUUG